ACUAUUUUGGCAGACAAGUGCCAUGAAUUUAGAAUUCAUUUAUGUAAGUAAUUUACUCUUACAAAUAGUA
rnacentral:tRNA from 1 species